AUACCUUUCUCCGCCUUUUAGCUAAGGUCAAGUGUAGUAUCUGUUCUUAGAGGUACGAAGUUAUUGGCCAAUUCUUAUCAAUGAAUCAGCUCUGAUUAAAAAAUUUCCCGCUCUUUUUAAGUUCCAAGUAUGGUGCUUUAAAGUUUUACAAAUUGAAUGCCCUUUAUUUAUUUAUUAUAUGCUUCACGCAUUUCAGCUCAAGCUUCCUGGUAAUCAGAAU
rnacentral:snRNA from 1 species